CAAUUCAACACCAGCAAUACCAUCAGUAACAACAGCACACAACCAUAUCCAACGAUUUCAACAACGACGUCUUCAUCAAUAUCGAAACCGAACAACACUGAUUAUCAGGUAAUGAAAAAUCCAGUGGUUUUUACCUCUUUCUCUCCUAUCCUCUCUAUCACCCUCGCCCGUCACUUCUUGUUGAAGCAGAGCAGAGCCCAAGACUCUGCAUCUUCCGGAAAAGAUGGUAAAGUUCAUGGACCUUCAUGUUCUAAGGACGCUUAGCCCUUCAAACCAACAGAUUCAAGUGUAAUAGCCUCCAAUCAGUCAUUUUUCAUUCACAUCGACUGAAAAAGGCCACGGAUUUGCUUGAGCCGCCCUUGUUCAUCUGGCAGUGUGCUCUUAUCAUUCACUAUGCUUCUCCUAUGACAUGUCUUCACUGUCCAGAUUGUAAGCAUGUAGACGAUUCCAUGGUGUCUUGAAUCGUCUACAUGCUUCUCCCAAAAGUACAAUUGGUUGUUCUUGCUAUAAAGAUUUCCUGAGGUGACUUAAAAGGGGUUAUGGACAGUGGAAAGUUACUAUUUUGUUUGCCUAUAAUUCUGCAAUUUUAUCCAGUCUCCAAGAUUGAAGAGUUUUCCAUAAUCCUUCCAAAGUGUGCAUAAGCCCGUUCAGGAUAUCCAAGUGUUUGUCACACAUGAAUGUGCUAUAAUGAACUUGAAGUGAUUUCCAUUUUUAUACUAAAGUUGUUCAACUUGGCCUGAGAAAAGUUUCUUUUUCUUUUUUUUUUUCUCUUUUGGUUGUGAUAAUCUGUGAACAUGAUGGUCCAUUUAAAUGCCCUUGUUACUUGUUCUCCCUCUCUUCACUAUGUUUAAGUGUAUAAUUUUUAUUUUUUAAAGAAAAAAAGUUGGGGCGGCUCUGUCUUUGUUUAUCAUGUUGCAGAAAAGAAAAAAAUUUUCUUUUCAUUUGUUUGAGCUAGCUAUCUAGACUUAGACUUGAUAUUGAGUUGUAUGUUAGUAGAUAUUUGUUGAAGCAAAGUUAGAUGUUGUGGGUUCAAAAUUUAUUUUCUUAUGAGAAUAGUUUGGGUCACAAGCCCCCUCCCUGCUCCUGCGUUUUUUUCGAAUCUCGAUUGUGCAAGUGUUAUAAAAUUUUUCGAGUGUUUGAGGUGGUCUAUUGAAUCAUGGUAGUUUCUUUGGAUUCUAGAAGUUAAAAUAUGUUCUUGGUUUCAGUUUGUGUAUUAUCCUAUUAUCUAUCUUGGUCGAUCUUGUUUAGAUAAAUUCAUUCCUAACUUCCUUUUGUUUUCUUUUCAUGUGAACUUGAGAGCGCAUUUGGGUCUAAUGGCUUGACUCUAUCACUGUCCAAAUCAGAGAAGCAAUAAAAGAUGCAUCACAUAUUUCCAUCUAGCAGUCUAGUUCCUCUGUCCCUCUUUUUUAGUUUUAUUCUUCUUUUAUAGCCACUUGUUAUUUAUUUUUUCUUAACAUUUCACCUAUUAUUAUUUAAAAUUCGCGUUUUAUAUAUUCUUAUUUGAAUUAGUGUGAAUCUUUGAAUAACUUUUGUAAAAUUUAAUUGUUCCUUUUUCCCCUUUAGAUUUUGAACUUAGUCUAAUCACGGGACCUCGGCAUUUAAUUUACAUCAUCAAAAGUUUUAAACUUUGGUAGGUUAAAAGAUACUUUUAGAAUUAAUGGCCGAGUUUGUUAGAAUCUUUUAAUACUUCUUUAAUAUGAAAUGGUAGUCUAUCUUUGGAAUCGAAUUAGUUUUCACCAAUGAGUAAUUUCAGACUAGUAAAAAUAAAUUUUGUGAUAGAUGGGCGUAUUAUCGCUAAACUCGAAAAAUCGACUUUACUAAUUUUGGAUACGGUAAAUCAAAUUUUAAUUUUUAUUAAUUUCAAAUAAAAGAUAGCACUGUGCAAGUCCCUUUGAAGGAUUUUAAUGAGAAGAAAUAUUUUAUUUAUUCGUAUCGUAAUGAAUAAUAAUUCGCAAGACAUUAUAUAUUUUAUCUAUUCACUUAGCGUAGGAUAAUUAGCUUAUUUUUAUGAAAUUUGAUCUAAAAAUACAAAAGAGUCAUUUUUUAGAAUUAAAAAAUGAGUUCGUAAUAUAAUUAACCUUUUAAUUGAAAGCUUUUUUUUUUGUUUUAAGAAAAAUGACUUUAAAUAACUUUCUUUUUUGACAAAAUAAGGUUACAUCAUUUUAGGAGGUCUUAUAAAAUAUUAUCUUAGGUAAUUUAAAAAAAAUAGGCUUUAUGACGAGGUUUAAUCUUAUUCUUACAAAGAAUUAGCAUAUAUUAUCUUAUAUAAGACAAAUAUCUUUUUAUGCCUUGCCUAUAUCUUAAUUUAAUAUUUGAUUUUCUUAUCUAAUCUAAGUUUGGUCGGUCAACCAUAGUUAGCAGAUCCUUUAGGGUGCCUUAUCCCUUCCCCUUAAGAUAAUUAGAAUCCUUACCUAGAGCUUUAAGUUGAGUAGACCUUAAAAUGAAGUCUUUAAUUGCUUUAAUCUCAUAGUUUAUAAUAGGUGUCCUAAUUCACCGUAGAACUAAUUAGGUGACACUUCCUUAAAUUUAAUUAGCAGUUUUUCAAUAUGUUGUAUGCUAUUUUGACCUCGUGUUAAAAUGGGGUAUAACAAAAACAAUUUCAAUUUUUUGAUGGUAUGAUUUUUAAUUCCUUUUUGAUAGAAAAUACUUUCCUAGCAGAAAAUAAUAGACUUGAUAUAUUUGAGAAUAUUAUUAAUCUCCAUUGCAUCAAACACUUCCAAGUGACUUUAUUAGUUUGUCUUACCAAGCCAUUAGAGACUUCAACAAGGCACAGACAACAACAACACAUCACCUAGCAGCUGAGCAAUUCAAUAGUAGACGACACGAUGGACACCACUAACUCUGCCACCCACAAGGGCACCAAACGUGACAGCCGGAUUAAUAUGACUGUGAUACAUAUUGUGUGGAAUUAAUCAAGGUGUGCGAUGCCAUAGCUAUCCAAAAAAAUGUAUGAAACUUCUUAAAAUUUGCAUUGUAUUCUUUGUUUUUCAUAAUUUGUCCCUUUAUGUAUGCAUCAACAUUUGUUUACAUUCCAUCCUUUGUUGUUUUCAUAAUUUUCUCCUAAGAUGUACAUUGUUAUUCUAUUAUUAGUAUUGAAUACUUUAAAGAUAUGUUUCAUCUUUAUAUUCACUUUCUACAA